rnacentral:rRNA from 1 species
AACGAACGCUGGCGGCAUGCCUAACACAUGCAAGUCGAACGAGAUCCUUCGGGGUCUAGUGGCGCACGGGUGCGUAACGCGUGGGAAUCUGCCCUUAGGUUCGGAAUAACAGUUAGAAAUGACUGCUAAUACCGGAUGAUGACGUUAAGUCCAAAGAUUUAUCGCCUGAGGAUGAGCCCGCGUAGGAUUAGCUAGUUGGUGUGGUAAAGGCGCACCAAGGCGACGAUCCUUAGCUGGUCUGAGGAUGAUCAGCCACACUGGGACUGAGACACGGCCCAGACUCCUACGGGAGGCAGCAGUGGGGAAUAUUGGACAAUGGGCGCAAGCCUGAUCCAGCAAUGCCGCGUGAGUGAUGAAGGCCUUAGGGUUGUAAAGCUCUUUUACCCGGGAUGAUAAUGACAGUACCGGGAGAAUAAGCCCCGGCUAACUCCGUG